GUGGGGAAUAUUGGACAAUGGGCGAAAGCCUGAUCCAGCCAUGCCGCGUGUGUGAAGAAGGUCUUCGGAUUGUAAAGCACUUUAAGUUGGGAGGAAGGGCAGUAAGUUAAUACCUUGCUGUUUUGACGUUACCGACAGAAUAAGCACCGGCUAACUUCGUGCCAGCAGCCGCGGUAAUACGAAGGGUGCAAGCGUUAAUCGGAAUUACUGGGCGUAAAGCGCGCGUAGGUGGUUUUGGAAGUUGGAGGUGAAAUCCCCGGGCUCAACCUGGGAACUGCCUCCAAAACUGCAUGACUAGAGUACGGUAGAGGGUAGUGGAAUUUCCUGUGUAGCGGUGAAAUGCGUAGAUAUAGGAAGGAACACCAGUGGCGAAGGCGACUACCUGGACUGAUACUGACACUGAGGUGCGAAAGCGUGGGGAGCAAACAGGAUUAGAAACCCGGGUAGUCC
rnacentral:rRNA from 1 species